AGUGUACAAGUUUCCGUAGGUGAACUUGCGGAAGGAUCAUUA
rnacentral:rRNA from 1 species